rnacentral:rRNA from 1 species
ACGGAGGCAGCAGUGGGGAAUAUUGCACAAUGGGGGAAACCCUGAUGCAGCGACGCCGCGUGAGUGAAGAAGUAUUUCGGUAUGUAAAGCUCUAUCAGCAGGGAAGAAAAUGACGGUACCUGACUAAGAAGCCCCGGCUAACUACGUGCCAGCAGCCGCGGUAAUACGUAGGGGGCAAGCGUUAUCCGGAUUUACUGGGUGUAAAGGGAGCGUAGACGGCAUAGCAAGUCUGAAGUGAAAACCCAAGGCUCAACCAUGGGAUUGCUUUGGAAACUGUUAAGCUAGAGUGCAGGAGGGGCAGGCGGAAUUCCUAGUGUAGCGGUGAAAUGCGUAGAUAUUAGGAGGAACACCGGUGGCGAAGGCGGCCUGCUGGACUGUAACUGACGUUGAGGCUCGAAAGCGUGGGGAGCAAACAGGAUUAGAUACCCUGGUA